rnacentral:rRNA from 1 species
GACGAACGCUGGCGGCGUGCUUAACACAUGCAAGUCGAACGAUGAAGCCGGAGCUUGCUCUGGUGAAUUAGUGGCGAACGGGUGAGUAACACGUGAGUAACCUGCCCUUGACUCUGGGAUAACUGCGGGAAACUGUAGCUAAUACCGGAUACGACCCUCGGAGGCAUCUCCUGGGGGUGGAAAGAAUUUCGGUCAAGGAUGGACUCGCGGCCUAUCAGCUAGUUGGUGAGGUAAAGGCUCACCAAGGCGACGACGGGUAGCCGGCCUGAGAGGGUGACCGGCCACACUGGGACUGAGACACGGCCCAGACUCCUACGGGAGGCAGCAGUGGGGAAUAUUGCACAAUGGGCGCAAGCCUGAUGCAGCAACGCCGCGUGAGGGGUGACGGCCCUCGGGUUGUAAACCUCUUUUAGUAGGGAAGAAGCGAAAGUGACGGUACCUGCGGAAAAAGCACCGGCUAACUACGUGCCAGCCGCCGCCGUAA